UACGAGGGGGGCGAGCGUUGUUCGGAAUUAUUGGGCGUAAAGGGUGCGUAGGCGGUUUGGUAAGUCUUAUGUGAAAUCUACAGGCUCAACUUGUAGUCUGCAUGAGAAACUGCCGGGCUUGAGUAUGGGAGAGGUGAGUGGAAUUCCUGGUGUAGCGGCGAAAUGCGUAGAUAUCAGGAGGAACACCGGUGGUGUAGACGGCUCUCUGGACCGUAACUGACGCUGAGGCACGAAAGCGUGGGUAGCAAACAGG
rnacentral:rRNA from 1 species